GAUGAAGAACGUAGCAAAAUGCGAUAAGUAAUGUGAAUUGCAGAAUUCAGUGAAUCAUCGAAUCUUUGAACGCACAUUGCGCCCGCUGGUAUUCCGACGGGCAUGCCUGUCCGAGCGUCAUUUCAACCCUCAAGCACGGCUUGGUGUUGGCGGAUUGCGUGCCCUAGCGGCGCUGCACCCGCCCAAAUACAGUGGCGGUCCCGCUGCGGCUCCCUUUGCGUAGUAACUCACCUCGCACUGGACCGGGCGGCGGCUCGCCGUAAAACCCCAACUCACGAAAUGUUGACCUCGGAUCAGGUAGGAAUACCCGCUGAACUUAAGCAUAUCAAUAAGCGGAGGA
rnacentral:misc_RNA from 1 species